AUGUCUUGAUGUAAUACUUGAAACGAAAAGCAAUUUUCAGGGCAGACUGAAUUUUACACAGUAUAAGAGAAAGUGAUGCCUGUACAAGAUUCAUUAGCAUGAUAUAUAUAAAUGGAAAAAUAAACGAAGCAGCUUUUUAUUUUGAAAUGAGUACCAAUAGGGAGAUAUCCUGAUAUUUUGGUACAUUCAGUAGCUGAAAUAAAUAAUUUUAUGAGAAAAAGUGGUACUAAUUUCUGAAAUUAAAAGCAAAAUAUUAAAUGUUUUACAGAAGUUAAUGUUAUUAUUAAAAAAAUGUUUAAAAGUAAGUUUUAUAGUUAAAAGGGGAAAACCAUGCUUUGCUUCUCUUCUAUAAUGAGAUAGAAAGGAGAGUAACCCUGGUCAGGAGGAGCAGGUAGAAAGAAAAAACCUGCCUUUAUUAUUUUUCUCUAGUCAUUAUUAUUAUUAUUAUUAAAAAAAUUCUUCACCUGAGGAUAUGUUUAUUGAUUUUAGAGAGAGGAGGGGAGGGUAGAGAGAGAGGAACAUUGAUCAGUUGCCUCCUCUACAUGCCCUGACCAGGGAUUGGACCCACAACCUAGGUAUGUGCCCUGACUGGGAAUCAAACCCGAAACCUUUUUGGUACAUGAGAUGAUGCUCCAACCAACUGAAUCUCCUGGCUAUGAUUUUUUUAAGUCAUUAUUAUUAUUUUUCAAAAAAUACAUUUUUAUUGAUUUCGGAGAGGAAGGGAGAGGGAGAGAGAGCUAGAAACAUCAGUGAUGAGAGAGAAUCUUUGAUUGGCUGCCUCCUACACAGCCCCUACUGGGGAUAGAGCCUGCAACAUGGACAUGUGCCUUUGACUGGAAUCGAACCCAAGACCCUUCGGUCUACAGGCCCACACUCUAUGGACUGAGCCAAAAUGGCUAGGGCAUGAAUUUAUUAAUUGAAAGAUCCAUAGAAAGAAUCACAGACUCUUUGAAUAUGAAUUUUGCCAUAUAUAGUUUGCUAACUAGUCUGUCAUCUUCUGAGCUAUAUGUACAGCAAUUCUUCUGAUGCAUCAGUUUUAUCUUUUUAAAAAAGAAUCAACUUUUCUUUAAAAAAGAAUUGACUUUCUGGCCCUAUCUUACCCUGCUUUAUCCAGGGUAAGAUAGGCUUUUAUAUUCCUACUAGAGGCCCAGUGCACGAAAUUUGUGCACAGGGGAGGGUCCCUCAGCCCGGCCUGCACCCUCUCCAAUCCAGGACCCCUUGGGGGAUGUCCGUCUGCUGGUUUAGGCCCGAUCCCAGCAGUUGGACAUCCCUCUCGCAAUCUAGGACUGCUGACUUCUGUCCGCUGACUCCUAACCGCUCGUCUGCCUGCCUGCCUGACACCCCUAACUACCUCUGCCUGCCAGCCUGAUCGCCCCCUAACUGCCCUCCCAAUCGCCCCUAACUGCCCUCCCCUGGCGGCCUGAUCACCCCCUAACUGCCCUCCCCUGCCGGCCUGAUUGUUCCUAACUGGUUCUGCCUCGGCCCCUGCCACCAUGGCUUUAUCCAGGACACCCGGAAGGAUGUCCAGAUGAUGUCUGUUCUAAUUAGCAUAUUACCCUUUUAUUAGUAUAGAUUUUUAUUAGUUUAUUUUAUGAUUUGUUAUGCAUAAUUUAGCAUCUUUUGUACUAUCGCUUUUCUAUUUCUUGCUCUAUUUUUAAUUUAAAAAAAUAUUUUUAAAUGAUUCUUUAGAGAGAAAGGGAGAGAGUGAGAGAGAGAAACAUUGAUUGGCUGCCUCCUGCACUCCCCUUACUGGGGAUCCAGCCUGCAACCCCAGCAUGUGCCCCAACUAGGAAUCAAACUGGGGACCUUUUGGUGCAUGGGUUGACGCUCAACUAACAGCCACACUGGGCUCUAGUUCUAUUUUUUAAGCUAGUAAUGUAUAUCCUUUUAACAAUUUCCUAAGCUUCCUUUUUUAAAUUUAUUUAUCUUGUUGAAAAUAUUACAGAUAUCCCUCCCUUAGACCCCUUCACCCCAUACUCACCCUUUCCAGGCCUUCACCACACUAUUAUCUGUGUCCAUGGGCUAUGCAUAUAUGCAUAUAAGUUCUCUGGUUAAUCUCUCCUCACCAAAGCUUCUUUUUUUUAAAAAAAAAUUUAUUGUUGACAUUAUUAGAGAUAGACCUCAUUUUCUCUCCCAUUUGUUCCUCUCCACCUAGACCCCAUUCUCCUCUACCUUUGGCCCUAACCACUUUUUGUCAGUGUCCAUGGGUUAUGCAUAUCUGUUCUCUGGCGAUUCUUUUCACCUUCUUUCAUCUCGCCCACCACACCCACCUCCCUCUGACAUUUGUCAGAAUACCAUGUAUCCAUGACUCUGGUUCUGUUUUGUUCAUCAGCUUAUUUUGUUCAUUAGAUUCCACAUAUAAGUGAGAUCAUAUGGUAUUUGCUUUCUCUGACUGGUUUAUUUCACUUAGCAUUAUAAUCUCCAGGUCCAUUCAUGCUGUUACACAAGGUAAGUGUUUCUUCCUUUUUACAGCUGCAUAGUAUUCCAUCGUGUGAAUGUACCAUACUUUUUUUAUCCACUCACCUCCUACCGAUGGACAUUUGGGCAGUUUCCAGAUCUUGCUUAUUGUAAAUAACACUGAUGUGAACAUAGGGGUGCAUAUGUUCCUUCUGAUUGGAGUUUUAGGAUUCUUAGGAUAUAUUCCCAGCAAUGGGAUUGCUGGAUCAAAAGGCAGUUCCAUUUUUUAAAUUUUUUGAGGAAACUCCACACUGUUUUCCACAGUGGCUACACCAGUCUGCAUUGCCACCAGUUGUGCACUAGGAUUCCCUUUUCUCCACAUCCUCACCUGCAUUUGUUGUUUGUUGAUUUGUUGAUGGUAGUCAUGUAGGUAGGUGUGAAAUGAUAUCUUGUGGUUUUAAUUUGAGUCUCUCUCUGACGAUUAGUGAUGUUGCGCACCUUUUCAUGUGUCUUUGGCCAUCUGUGUGUCCUUUUUGGAGAAUAUGAGAAAACUUAAGUUCAGAGACUGACCAACCCAGUAUCAUACAGAAUCUAGAAUCUGGACCUUUGACUCCAGGUUUAGUGCAUUUGGUAGUUACUUUACUAGGUAUUAUAUACUGUAAUAUUCUAGCUGUGUCUUUCUAAUGCAUUUCUAAUAAGUUGAAAUGUUUUCUGCAUCUUGGUAAACUGUUUUAUAUUGUUAAAAAUCAUUUUCUUUUUUAAAAAAAAUAUAUUUUAUUGAUUUGUUACAGAGAGGAAGGGAGAGGGAUAGAGAGUUAGAAACAUCGAUCAGCUGCCUCCUGCACACUCCCCACCGGGCAUGCGCCCGCAACCAAGGCACAUGCCCUUGACCGGAAUCGAACCCGGGACCCCUGAGACCACAGGCCGACACUCUAUCCCCUGAGCCAAACUGGUCAGGGCUUAAGAGAGAGCAGUUAUAAAAUAAGUACUACUCUAUAAUAUUUAAUAUCAUUUUGGUUAACUGUUAAGACAUGAUGGGAAGAGCACUGAAUUGGGAACUAUGAGACUGGGUACUUGUCCAUUCUGUUUCUAUAAAUUCAGGUAAAUCAUUUUGCUUCAAUUUGUUUAUUUUUCACCUCAAUAUGUUCUGUCUUUGCCCUUUCCUUUGAGACUUCAUGUUUCUGCCUAUAAAUCUUAGUAAUGCUUGCUGUUAUCUUGUUUGUUUUUUAAAAUAGCAUUUCAUAGCUGAUCUCAACUUACGAUCUGUUUCUGUUUCUUAAUCUUUUCUCAUUUUUAUUUGGACUAAUUAAUUUUGAUUCUGGUGCAUUAUUUAGCUUAACUUCUGUAGAUAUUUCACUAUUCAAAUAUAUGGUAGUGGAAAAGAUUUUAUUGUGAUAUUAUUAUGUUAAUUUUCACAGAACAAUAACUCAAAUUAUUAGUUAUUUUCCCUUCACUGACUCAGUUAAGCCAGGGAAAACAAUGAAGGUUGAAACAUUUGAAUAGUAGGUUUUCUGUCUUCAAGUCUUUUUUACACUACUUUUUGUUUGUUUGUAUUAAAUUUCAUACUAUAGUUGGGUGCUGUCUUGGGUUUUGUUAAUGAGGAAAAUAGUACCUUCUGCCUCAACUCUGUAAUAAGUAGAAACAACUAACGAAUUGGACUGACUUGGAGGCUCCAGUUUAAAAUUGUACUGUCCUCCUGGUCUGUGGCUCAGUGCUUAGAACAUCAGCCUUUGCACUGAAGAGUCACAGGUUUGAAUUUUGAUCAAGGACAUACCUGGAUUGCAGGUUCGAUCCCCAGCCCUGGUUGGGACAAAUGCUGGAAGCAGCUGAUUGAUGUGUCUCUCUCACAUUGAUGUUUCUCUCUUUCCCUCCCCCCCUCUCACAUUCUCUUUCCUCCUCUACCUACUCCUUCCCUCCCUUCCACUCUUUCUAAAAAAUCAAUGUAAAAAAUAUCCUCGGGUGAAGAUUAACAAAAACAUAAAAAUAUUAUACUGGGCUUUAAAGAGAGCCCAAUAAAGGGAGUCUGGUCUCCAAAACAAAGUCAAUCUUGAAUAUGAAUCUGGAAAAAUUACUCUGAACUUUAUAUAAGCACAGUUCUCUGUUAAGCAGGUAGCCUCUUAUUUAAUUUAGAGACUGAAACAUUGGUUCCUUAGCAAAGUAAAUUAUUUAUGUUAAAUAAUUUCUUUGUUCUACUUUACUUGCUAUAUUCUUAUAACACACCUUUUGAGGGGCCAUUUUUAGGGGGAUAAUUAAGAACAUUCUGCUCAUAUAUUAUCCAUCUUAAUUUUAUCAGUAGGUCACUAAAUAACACUAGCUUUGGAAUUCCUCUCAUAGUUAAUCCUGAACCAUUCAGUAUUCCUCUGACCAUUUGUGAAAAGCAUUUUUAAAAAAUUCUUUAUUGUUUAAAGUAUUACAUAUAGUAUUACAUAAGUCUCCUUUUUUCCCCAUUGACCUCUUCCCGGCCACCCCCACCCCCCAGCACAUGCCCUCACCUCCCCUUAGUGUCUGUGUCCAUUGGUUAUGCUUAUAUGCAUGCAUACAAGACCUUUGGUUGAUCUCUUAACCGCCCCCCCCCCCCCCCCUGAAGUUUGACAGUCUGUUUGAUGCUUCUAUGUCUCUGGCUCUAUUUUUGUUUUUCAGUUUAUGUUGUUCAUUAAAUUUGAAGAACAUUUUUUGAGACAUUUCAUUUGGUAGAAAUAGUCUCUUCUGUUUUUCUUAUUUUAGAAACUUUCAUUUAAUUUUACAUAUUAGGAUUUGAGGACAUACAGAGCUUAUCAUGGGUUCUCAAGAUAACCAACAGCUUAUUGAAUUCUUAACCUGUUGUUUAAAAGUCUAUUUACAAGGUUAGGAGAAUUACAUCAUUAGAAUGUUGCAACAGAACACUUAAUAUUGGCAUUUUAUUCAGGUCUGGAUUGUCCUUUGCAGGAUGUUUAACAUCUGUGGUCCCUACUCAUUACAUUGUGGAGUCUUCUAUGCUUAAUUCAAGUUUGACAGUACUACAUUGGACCAAUUUGCAUAUGACAAAUCUUCGCUAAGGCAGGAUAUUAAUUUACUAUUUGUUCAAAACUAUAACAUGUAUACUAUUAUUAUUAUUAUUAUACAGAGUGCUGAGUCCUAUCUUUUCUACUUUCUAGAAAUAGUGAUAUAGUCCUUAGGACUCAUCUCUAAAAGUAGAGGUAUCUUAAGAAAAUACAUUAAUUAUUCAUUAUUCAUUAGCUGUUUCCUUUUUUAUUCAGUUUUCUGUGUAGAAAAGGUAGUAAGUAAGUUUUGACUAUCAUAAAGAUUCUCAAUCCCUUGCUGGUUAAAAUCUGCGUGUACCCCAGUCUUUAAGUUUAUUUUUCUGUGAAGCACAUUAUCAUCUCAGCUUCCUAAAUUAUAUCAUAACGGUAAUUCAAAUUUAUGUUUUGCUGCCAUAUACUUUCUGAUUUUAAAAGGAACAAGACAGCAGUUGUAUCAUGCCAUUUGUGCAGAUCUAUUUUUCAUUGCUUUUUAUUAUAUGCUUUAUUAGAGAUUGUAAAUAUUAGGUUUAAAAAAUAUAUAUAUAUUUAUUUUCUUUAAAGUAUUUUUUUUAUUGAUUUCAGAGAGGAAGGGGGAGGGAGAGAGAGAUAGAAACAUCAGUGAUGAGAGAGAAUCAUUGAUCAGCUUCCUCCUGCACAUCCCCCAAUGGGGAUCAAGCCCACAACCGGGCAUGUGCCCUGACUGGGAAUCAAACCGUGACCUCCUGGUUCAUAGGUUGAUGCUCAACCACUGAGUAGCUGGCUUAAAUAUUAGGUUUUUAAAAAUGAUUUAAUGACUUGGUUCUAACUUUGCAUACACAGCUAAUUUGAAGUAAUUUGAUCAGUUAUCAGAAUAAUCCAUUUGAUUGUAUUUUAACAAAAAUUCAAAUAGAGAAACCUUUUAAAUGUGAAUAUAAACUAAAGAACUUCUCACUAAAAAUCUUCAAUAGUUAGGAGAACUAUGUUUUUUUUCAGUACAAUGUAAAUAAAGACAUGGAUUGGCCAGCCUGUUUCUGAAUUUCAUGUUCUUUUUCUAAUUUUUUAUGUUAACUGCCUUAGAUGUGAAAGCACUUUCAUUUUGGAAUUAAACUCUGAAGUUCAGGAACUAUUAAUGAACUAUAAAACGACUUAAUAGGUAUAAGUAAAAAUAUGGGUUUCCUUUUAAAAUUUGAAAGUGUUCUCAAGAUACAUCGGAAAAUCAUAAUUUAAUUUUUUGAAUUUAUUUUGAAAAAAGUUUUAAACAUGCCAAAAGUUUGCAAGAGUACUACAAUGAAUAUCUGAUAAUUAACAUUCUGCCACUUUUGCUCUCCCUUCCUACCUUCCCUCCUCCCUUUGUUGUGCUUUUUUACCUGUUUUGCAUAAUUCUUUUUAGCUUUAUUGAGGUAUAAUUAACAAAAUUGUAUGAUAUUUGAAGUGUACAUUAUCCUGAUUUGCUAUUUGUAUACAUUAUGAAACCUUAUUCAUCUUAUAAUUGAAAGUUUAUACCUUUUACCAACCUCUCCCUACUUCUCCCACCCCCCCACACCCCUACACCUUGGCAACCGUAGUUCUUUAAAAAAAAAAAAAAUUGUAUCUUGUCGCUCAGGAUAGAUAGUGAAUCACGUACAUACUCCUGUGCAUCACUGCUUUUAUUUGUAGAAGUGAGUUUCUCAGAAUCUACUUAAGAAUAUUUUACUCAACUUUUGUGAACUUAAAAUUUUUCUUUGUAAAAGAUAAAAGGUGUAGGUUUUGACUCAGUGUAAAUACUGAUAUAUUCAAAUUUAACAGAAACGAAAGUAUUUGUUUUGUUAAAUUAUUGGGAGCAAAAA